rnacentral:rRNA from 1 species
AACGAACGCUGGCGGCAUGCCUAACACAUGCAAGUCGAACGAGACCUUCGGGUCUAGUGGCGCACGGGUGCGUAACGCGUGGGAACCUGCCCUUAGGUUCGGAAUAACUCCCCGAAAGGGGUGCUAAUACCGGAUAAUGUCUUCGGACCAAAGAUUUAUCGCCUUUGGUUGGGCCCGCGUUGGUUUAGCUAGUUGGUAGGGUAAAAGCCUACCAAGAUGACGAUCCAUAGCUGGUCUGAGAGGAUGAUCAGCCACACAGGGACUGAGACACGGCCCAGAAUCCUACGGGAGGCAGCAGGGGGGAAUAUUGGACAAUGGGCGAAAGCCUGAUCCAGCAAUGCCGCGUGAGUGAUGAAGGCCUUAGGGUUGUAAAGCUCUUUUACCCGGGAUGAUAAUGACAGUACCGGGAGAAUAAGCGCCGGCUAACUCCGUG